UCCGUAGGUGGAUAAUUAAGUCAGAGGUGAAAUCCUGCAGCUCAACUGUAGAAUUGCCUUUGAAACUGGUUAUCUUGAGUUAUUAUGAAGUAGUUAGAAUAUGUAGUGUAGCGGUGAAAUGCAUAGAUAUUACAUAGAAUACCAAUUGCGAAGGCAGAUUACUAAUAAUAUACUGACACUGAGGGACGAAAGCGUGGGGAGCGAACAGGAUUAGAUACCCUGGUAGUCC
rnacentral:rRNA from 1 species